rnacentral:rRNA from 1 species
GACGAACGCUGGCGGCGUGCUUAACACAUGCAAGUCGAACGGUGAUGCUCCAGCUUGCUGGCGUGGAUCAAUGGCGAAAGGGUGAGUAACACGUGAGCAACCUGCCCCAGACUUUGGCAUAAGCGCUGGAAACGGCGUCUAAUACUGGAUACGAAACUGGCCCGCAUGGGCAUGGUUUGGAAAGUUUUUCGGUUUGGGAUGGGCUCGCGGCCUAUCAGCUUGUUGGUGAGGUAAUGGCUCACCAAGGCGACGACGGGUAGCCGGCCUGAGAGGGCGACCGGCCACACUGGGACUGAGACACGGCCCAGACUCCUACGGGAGGCAGCAGUGGGGAAUAUUGCACAAUGGGCGAAAGCCUGAUGCAGCGACGCCGCGUGAGGGAUGACGGCCUUCGGGUUGUAAACCUCUUUCAGCAGGGAAGAAGCGAAAGUGACGGUACCUGCAGAAGAAGCACCGGCUAACUACGUG